AUGGCCUGGACUCCUCUGCUCCUCGCGCUCCUCUCUCACUGCACAGGGUCCCUCUCCCAGCCUGUGCUGACUCAGCCGCCCUCCCUCUCUGCAUCCCCGGGAGCCACAGCCAGACUCACCUGCACCCUGAGCAGUGGCUUCAAUGUUGGUGGAUACAGGAUACGCUGGUUCCAGCAGAAGCCAGGGAGCCCUCCCCGGUACCUCCUGAAUUACUACUCAGACUCAGAUAAGGGCCAAGGCUCUGGGGUGCCCAGCCGCUUCUCUGGAUCCAAAGACGCCUCAGCCAAUGCGGGGCUCCUGACCAUCUCGGGGCUGCAGCCUGAGGACGAGGCCGACUAUUACUGUGUAACAUGGGACGAUAACUCUAAGACUCUCACAGUGGUCCAGACCCACAGGGAACAGAAGCCAGGGAGCCCUCCCCGGUACCUCCUGAAUUACUACUCAGACUCAGAUAAGGGCCAAGGCUCUGGGGUGCCCAGCCGCUUCUCUGGAUCUAAAGACGCCCUAUACCAUACGGGGGUCCUCAUGACCAUCUGGGUGCUGCAGGCUGAGGACGAGGUCACUACUUGA